UUAAAAAGAGUUAAGGCCGUUGCAAUCCCAGCUUCCUCAGCGUUUGGACGGUGCAGUGGGGCCCGUUGUCGGUCUAUGGGCUGUCAUUCGGGUCUGGCCCGCUUCUGCAUGGCUGCCGUGUGUUCUGUUUGGGCCUGGUUUAUCUCUUCCGUCGGCGUGGGGUGGAGGUUUGACCGACCAUGUUCUUCCCUCUUCGCGUGCUAGAUUUCGUCUCGAUUCCGGCCGAUUCUCCGCUGGUUGAUCUUGCCUGCUGCGGUUCCUUUGCUCUUCUAGCGUUUCCUUUCUUUUGCCUGGCGAAUCUUGCAUGUUCCCGUGCUAAUCACGCUAUUGUUUCGGCGAUCUAGGUCUGGAGGGGCUGGUUCUUUGGUGGGAUCCCUUCGCCUGUUCGUUCGGCCGGCGCGGCCGGCUGGUUUCCCUGAGGUUGCAGGCUGGUGAUUAUGGUUUUGCUAUGCUUAUGUGGAGAGGUAGGAAUCUGGUUUAGCCUGCCUCGCUAUGCUUACAAGCUUAGAUCGUUCAGAACAUACUUGCAAACGUGGGUGAUAAGACUUAUUUUGCAGAUGUGAUUGGCAUAGUGACGGGUGUUUCUUCCCUUGUGAGCAUCGAUGUGACGGGACAUUCUACUUCUAAGUGCACUCUCCGCCUUACAGAUACACGGGAUACUGCGAUAGUUGCACUCUGGGUAAGAAAUGCGGAGGGCAUAGAUUCGGGUCGUUUGAUAGAGGAUAGUUCUAGAGAGCCUGUGGUUGCUUUAAUUAUUGGGUGCACCCAUAAAAAGCAAGAUUUUAUGUUCGGAUGCCUCUGUUUUUUGUUUCUUUGAGAGUGUUUGAGCUUGUGGAUACCGAAUUAAUAAUGUGUUAAAUCAGUUUUCCUUGUGGUUGUUAUAGCUAUGCUCGAGCUAUCUGCUAGCUAUGGAUCUCAGGUUUGCAUCAACAUGGAUAUCCCGGAUAUUGUCGCUUUGCGUGAUAGGCUGGUAGGAUCUCAUUAUCUAAUUGAGCUUAUUAUGGAAAGGGGUCAGCGAUAUGAGUCUUACGAGAUUCAGGUCGUCACCGUGCCAGAUGUCUGCUAUGAACCCGCAUGUUGCAUCGGUAUGCAGUUUGUGAUCCUGAGAUUGCUCGGUUAUGUGCGUUGGGAUGUUGAUGCCAUGUCAUUUCUGCAGGGCAAGAGAUUUCGGAGCAAGAUUGUGAUUGAUGGUGUCCAGCCUAACAAAGGAUGGUGGUUCUUGUCCUGUGAUGAUUGUAAUUGUAAGGCGUAUGAGGAAGGAUCUGUCUAUAGGUGUAGCAGACAAAGGUGUUCUUCCAAGAGUGCAAGCCCAAGGUUUUGUGUCCCUGUGGUGGCGUCUGGAAAAGGGGUUUCGGUAGAGAUGGUUUUUCUUUGGUGAUGUGGCGCGGAAUUUAGUUGGAAAACCUGCUGAAGUCCUGGUUGCUGAGAACUGCUCACUGAUUUCUAAUGUGCCUGCAGAAAUAGCUUCUUUAACGGGGAGAAGCUAUGUUGUUGAUGUCAGUGUGUCUCGGUAUUCUUUUCGUACUGAAGAUAUCAGGUUCCAGGUCCAUAAGUUCUAUCCUUCGGGUAGUUCUGUGUUCGUUGGGCUGGAAGCUUCGCUCAUAGUUGCUAGAAAAGCACCUCAGCAACUGGGUGAUUCCGGUCAAAGUUCUCCCUGCCACAAAAUAGGUUCUGGAAAUGUCGGGACUUAGGCAGUGUCUGGUGCUUCUGCUGAAGCAGUGUCUGGUGCUUCCGCUGAUGAUACAGUCUUGCGUACUCCGCCACCUCCAGCUACUGUGGAAACUCCAUCUGAGAAGCAUCCAGUUGACAUUGAGCAGUGUGAGGAUUUGGGUGGUGGUGAUUCAGGUUUUCCUCUGGGAAAUGCUUCUGAGAAGAAGUGCGUAUAACGAAGGGCUAUACAAGGCUAAGCCUGAUUCAGACAAGAUGAUAGCCUGGGUUUAAUAUGAUUUGCCAGCUAGAGAAAAUUCCUUUGGGUUUAAGAUUAGGAAAACCUAUGGGGGGCCCCGAUGGUCGGAGACAGAUGCUUGGGAAAGUCUGGGUAAAGCGCUAAUCCAGGGAAUCAUGCUGGAAACAGGGUACAACGUAGAUGAUGUAAACUACGUUUUGCAAUGUGGCUUGUAGCCAGUUUGCUGAGUUGCAUCGCAUUGCUGGAGGCGUGACUCUGAUGGCACAUUGUGCUCGAGAAAGAGAUCGCGAGGCCAUCGAGUUACUGAAUAAAGUGAGGGAAAAAGUUUCGUCUAUAUGCCUUCGGUAUGACGAUGUGCUUCCUUUUUCUAAGGUUAAAGAGGCAGGUGAUGGUAGUGUGUUGUCUGGACAUAUGGAAGAGCUGGCGAGGGAGUUGGUGAACCUAGCGCAGGGCGACGACGAACUAGGAUUGAACAGUGUGGACUAGGAGGUAUGCAGAUGCUGUCUGUCAUAAAUGUGUCCAGGUGCUCAUGUUUGUGGACGAUUGCCAGUACGCUUUUUUGCACUGGUGUUGGUCUGUUCGUAGGUGUGUUAGAUUCAGCCGACUUAAGGGAGGAUGCAUGUGUGUUUUGGGGCUGAUGGUCGGCUGUGGCAGGUGUGUUGGUGUGUCCUUUAAUACACGUGUUUAGUCGCGUGAGGUGUGCUUUUGCUGUUCUGUAAUUAGGACGAUGUAUCGCUUUAUGUGGAAGCUGAUGCAUGGUUUAUGUGGCUUUGUGAUUUUUUGCACGCCCUUUUGUGUAAUGUAUCACUAUAUGUAUGCGAGGGUAUGGCAGAACAAACUGUAGGUUAAUGUGGUUUGGUAUUUUGCUUGAUUUAGAGGGAACUCAGAGUAGUUAUGUCCUCUUAUCUGGUUAUACACUCUCACCUUCAGUUGAAUGAUUUGUGCGAAAAUAGAAAAAUACUAUGCGAAGAGGCUUUACCUGAUGGCUGGCUGGUAUUUUGCAAACGUGAGAAGCAGAGAGACAGA